CCUACGGGAGGCAGCAGUGGGGUAUAUUGGUCAAUGGGCGAGAGCCUGAACCAGCCACGUCGCGUGAAGGAUGACGGCCCUACGGGUUGUAAACUUCUUUUGUCAGGGAGCAAUUGAGUCCACGUGUGGACUUAGCGAGAGUAACUGAAGAAAAAGAAUCGGCUAACGCCGGGCCAGCAGCCGCGGUAAUACGGAGGAUGCGAGCGUUAUCCGGUUUUAGUGGGUUUAAAGGGUGCGUAGGCGGAAUAUCAAGUCAGCGGUAAAAAUUCGGGGCUCAAUCCCGUCGUGCCGUUGAAACUGAUGUUCUUGAGUGGGCGAGAAGUAUGCGGAAUGCGUGGUGUAGCGGUGAAAUGCAUAGAUAUCACGCAGAACUCCGAUUGCGAAGGCAGCAUACCGGCGCCCAACUGACGCUGAAGCACGAAGGCGUGGGUAUCGAACAGGAUUAGAUACCCUAGUAGUC
rnacentral:rRNA from 1 species